GUGGGGAAUUUUGGACAAUGGGCGAAAGCCUGAUCCAGCCAUGCCGCGUGUGUGAAGAAGGUCUUCGGAUUGUAAAGCACUUUAAGUUGGGAGGAAGGGCAGUAAGUUAAUACCUUGCUGUUUUGACGUUACCGACAGAAUAAGCACCGGCUAACUUCGUGCCAGCAGCCGCGGUAAUACGAAGGGUGCAAGCGUUAAUCGGAAUUACUGGGCGUAAAGCGCGCGUAGGUGGUUUUGUAAGUUGGAGGUGAAAUCCCCGGGCUCAACCUGGGAACUGCCUCCAAAACUGCAUGACUAGAGUACGGUAGAGGGUAGUGGAAUUUCCUGUGUAGCGGUGAAAUGCGUAGAUAUAGGAAGGAACACCAGUGGCGAAGGCGACUACCUGGACUGAUACUGACACUGAGGUGCGAAAGCGUGGGGAGCAAACAGGAUUAGAAACCCUUGUAGUCC
rnacentral:rRNA from 1 species